rnacentral:rRNA from 1 species
UACAGAGGGUGCAAACGUUGUUCGGAAUUACUGGGCGUAAAGCGCGUGUAGGCGGUUUUGGAAGUCGGAUGUGAAAGCCCUGAGCUCAACUUGGGAAGUGCAUUCGAUACUCUAGAACUUGAGUCUUGGAGAGGAUGGUGGAACUCUUGGUGGAGAGGUGAAAUUCGUAGAUAUCAGGAAGAACACCAGUGGCGAAGGCGGCCAUCUGGACAAUGACUGACGCUGAGACGCGAAAGCGUGGGGAGCAAACAGG